ensembl:lncRNA
CAUCCACAUUGCACUCCUGUUUUGCUUUUUGCACUCUACUUUCCACUUUUUUUUAUAUUCAUUGUUUAUAUAUUUGUAUCGUAUAUAUUGUGUUUUUUGGUUCUUAUGUGUAGUACUUUUCUUAUGUGUAGUACUUAUUUGUGAUUUUAUGUUAUGUGUAGUACUUAUUGUGUUUCUAAGUUUUUAUGUUGUAUGUUUACUGUAUGCACCUUCACACCAGAAAAAAUUCCAAGUAGGUGUAAAUCUACUUGGCAAUAAAUCCCAUUCUGAUUCUGAUUCUGAUUCUAAAGAGUGCCAUGAAAAAUACAUGUAAACCACACACAUUACCAAAAAAUAUAUAUCAUGGUCAUUCAUUUUUUAACACGUCAUUACCCCCAACUUUGUCUGAGAGAGAAAACCGGCCAACACUCUCACAUCAACCAAGGGAGUUAGCAGCGAACAUUAAUGUUACCACAAAGCAGGCUAACUUUAAUGGAAAUAUGGAAAUAUCUGGCGAUAUAUCUGUUAAUGUAUCCUGUAUUUUUUCAUUUACCCAAAACAACUUAUCUUAAUGAACACUAGCGUGAAGAAAUUCAGCAGUCGCUGGUGAUUUGUCCCAUUUCCACAGAAGUUUGCCUGAAAUAAAAGUUUUAAAAAAGAAACUCGCCACAGCGUCAAAAGGUAAUAGUGGCCAAAAGAAUAUUACAUCCGUAGUGGUUUAGCACUACCAUUGAGAAUGAAUGGGAAACGGUUUAUGGCCGUUUAGCUAAACUAUUAGUGUGUAUCAGCAAAGAUCAAAGAACCGUCGUGCUCAUCCUCGUUAGUAUAGUGGAUAGUAUCCCCGCCUGUCACGCGGGAGACCGGGGUUCAAUUCCCCGACGGGGAGGUCACAUUUUACGAUCUCCGUUUGGAGACUGGUGAAUUAGACCAGUCUCCAAACAGAAUCAUAGAACACAUUAAUACAAUCUGUAGCUAGUAAGCUAGCAUGCUAAAUUACAUCUCUUGAAAUGAACAGGUAAUUAUUAUUAUUACAAACUAGCAGGUAAUUAUGAGUAUGAGGGAAAGGGCUGAUUCGUUUAUAGCACACUGAGUGAGACAGAGCAGCUCAUAUAGCUUGUUCUACAUUGGAGUAACUUCAGGGUAUAUUGACCCAAAUAUAAUGGGU